rnacentral:siRNA from 1 species
AGCCAACGUGGCAAAUGUAGUUAC